rnacentral:rRNA from 1 species
GCCUACGGGGGGCAGCAGUAGGGAAUCUUCCACAAUGGGCGAAAGCCUGAUGGAGCAACGCCGCGUGGGUGAAGAAGGUCUUCGGAUCGUAAAACCCUGUUGUUAGAGAAGAAAGUGCGUGAGAGUAACUGUUCACGUUUCGACGGUAUCUAACCAGAAAGCCACGGCUAACUACGUGCCAGCAGCCGCGGUAAUACGUAGGUGGCAAGCGUUAUCCGGAUUUAUUGGGCGUAAAGGGAACACAGGCGGUCUUUUAAGUCUGAUGUGAAAGCCUUCGGCUUAACCGGAGUAGUGCAUUGGAAACU